CCUACGGGGGUCAGCAGUGGGGGAUAUUGGCCAAUGGGGGCCACCCUGAUGCAGCGACGCCGCGUGAGCGAUGGAGUACUUCGGUAUGUAAAGCUCUGUCAGCAGGGAAGAGAAUGACGGUUCGUGACCAAGAAGCCCCGGCUAAAUACGUGCCAGCAGCCGCGGUCAUCCGUAUGGGCCAAGCGUUAUCCGGAUUUACUGGGUGUAAAGGGAGAGUGGGCGGGAGGGCAAGCCUGAUGGGAAAGCCCGGGGACCAACCCCGGGACUGCAUUGGGAACUGCCCCGCUCGAGUGCCGGAGGGGCAUGCGGAAUUCCUAGUGGAGCGGUGAAAUGCGUAGAUAUUAGGAGGAACACCAGUGGCGAAGGCGGCCUGCUGGACGGUGUACUGACGCUGAGGCUCGAAAGCGUGGGGAGCAAACAGGAUUAGAUACCCGUGUAGUC
rnacentral:rRNA from 1 species